rnacentral:rRNA from 1 species
UACGUAGGGUGCAAGCGUUAAUCGGAAUUACUGGGCGUAAAGCGUGCGCAGGCGGCUUUGCAAGACAGAUGUGAAAUCCCCGGGCUCAACCUGGGAACUGCAUUUGUGACUGCAUGGCUGGAGUGCGGCAGAGGGGGAUGGAAUUCCGCGUGUAGCAGUGAAAUGCGUAGAUAUGCGGAGGAACACCGAUGGCGAAGGCAAUCCCCUGGGCCUGCACUGACGCUCAUGCACGGAAGCGUGGGGAGCAAACAGG